rnacentral:rRNA from 1 species
AUGGUUGUUUACCAUGUUGUUUGCUUAUUACCGGUGUUGCUUCUUCGGGUUAGUUCCCUUAACAUCGCGUUUGUGAGGAUCCGUUCGACUACGUCCGUUUGUCUUCUUCAUGGACUCGUUCUUCUUCCUUGCGGGAUCUCAGGCAAGAUGACCAUACCCUCGAAAUCACUUCUAUCAUUGCUUGCUAGUUGUUCGCUCUUUUGCCAUGCCGUGAUACCUACCACUUUCUAUAUCAUGCCUCCCAUAUUGCAAUGUCAAGCCUCUAACCCACCUUCCCUAGCAAACCGUUGUUUGGCUAUGUUACCGCUUUGCUCAGCCCCUCUAAUAGCAUUGCUAGUUGCAGGUGAAGUUGAAGUUUGUUCCUUGUUGGAACAUGGAUAUUGUUGGGAUAUCAUUACUAUAUCUUAUUUACUUUAA